rnacentral:rRNA from 1 species
UCAGGAUGAACGCUGGCGGCGUGCCUAAUACAUGCAAGUCGAACGCUUUGUCUUUAAUUGAUCUGACGAGCUUGCUCUGAUGUGAUUUUAUCUGACAAAGAGUGGCGAACGGGUGAGUAACACGUGGGUAACCUACCUCUUAGCAGGGGAUAACAUUUGGAAACAAGUGCUAAUACCGUAUAAUACCAACAACCGCAUGGUUGUUGGUUGAAAGAUGGUUCUGCUAUCACUAAGAGAUGGACCCGCGGUGCAUUAGCUAGUUGGUAAGGUAACGGCUUACCAAGGCAAUGAUGCAUAGCCGAGUUGAGAGACUGAUCGGCCACAAUGGGACUGAGACACGGCCCAUACUCCUACGGGAGGCAGCAGUAGGGAAUCUUCCACAAUGGGCGCAAGCCUGAUGGAGCAACGCCGCGUGUGUGAUGAAGGGUUUCGGCUCGUAAAACACUGUUAUAAGAGAAGAACGGCACUGAGAGUAACUGUUCAGUGUGUGACGGUAUCUUACCAGAAAGGAACGGCUAAAUACGUGCCAGCAGCCGCGGUAAUACGUAUGUUCCAAGCGUUAUCCGGAUUUAUUGGGCGUAAAGCGAGCGCAGACGGUUAUUUAAGUCUGAAGUGAAAGCCCUCAGCUCAACUGAGGAAUGGCUUUGGAAACUGGAUGACUGA